rnacentral:rRNA from 1 species
GAUGAACGCUGGCGGCGUGCCUAAUACAUGCAAGUCGAGCGAACGGACGAGAAGCUUGCUUCUCUGAUGUUGCGGCGGACGGGUGAGUAACACGUGGAUAACCUACCUAUAAGACUGGGAUAACUUCGGGAAACCGGAGCUAAUACCGGAUAAUAUUUUGAACCGCAUGGUUCAAAAGUGAAAGACGGUCUUGCUGUCACUUAUAGAUGGAUCCGCGCUGCAUUAGCUAGUUGGUAAGGUAACGGCUUACCAAGGCAACGAUGCAUAGCCGACCUGAGAGGGUGAUCGGCCACACUGGAACUGGGACACGGUCCAGACUCCUACGGGAGGCAGCAGUAGGGAAUCUUCCGCAAUGGGCGAAAGCCUGACGGAGCAACGCCGCGUGAGUGAUGAAGGUCUUCGGAUCGUAAAACUCUGUUAUUAGGGAAGAACAUAUGUGUAAGUAACUGUGCACAUCUUGACGGUACCUAAUCAGAAAGCCACGGCUAACUACGUG